rnacentral:piRNA from 1 species
UCCAAAAGCAGGUGAGUGUCUGAGGUUCU